rnacentral:hammerhead_ribozyme from 1 species
AUCCAGCUGACGAGUCCCAAAUAGGAUGGGACACGCGUCAAACUGGAU